GAUUAAGAUCCCUAUAUAAUUCCAAAAUUAUUAAAAGUAAUUAAAAUAUAAAAGUAAAAUAAUGUUUUUCCUCUAAUAAUGACCCUCCUAUCCAACUUUUCUCAUUUUCGUAACUUCAUUCCUAAAUUUUGUUUCUCUUCCUUUCUAAUCUGAAAAGAAGAAACCCUCACCACUCGAAAAUCAAUCACUCAGUUUCGAAGAAAUUCUUUCUUUUUCCUUCUUCUCGGAUAAAAGAAACCCAGGGACCCUUCCUUCUUUCUUCUCCUCAGAUAGAAGAAACCCUAACAUGGUUGUGUCUCCCCAUGUCACACCCUUCCUUCUUCGUUCUUCGUAGCAAAGAAGUCAUUGACGAUUUAUUUGAAAGCCUAGCCAGGGCCACUACAUAUUCUAGGGCAUUGAUUGAGGCAUUUGGACGCCAGAGAAGGCGACGUAGACGAAGACGCCAACACGGUCCGCCACGAAGGUGCGGAUGGGGGCGACGUUCGUUUGGGUGUAAAGUCGCCAUGAAUUAGAGAAUAGCGACAUGGAAGAGAUAAACAAGGCGAGCAUCUGACGAGACUAACCUGUCACAGGAGAAAGUUUGCAUGAAGAUGAGGAGUUUGAUCAACAUCAAAGGCAACUUGCUACACUUCUGGUGUCAAAGGAAAUGCUUCAGGCUCAACUCUGUCGUUCCUGUGAGCACUGAAAGGAAGACAAGAAAGGUGAUAGAUACAAGAAGACAAUUAAUCUUGUUGAAUUCUGCACACACUUCUUAUGUUACUUUUGUGUGCAUUCUCUGUUGCAGGCUGUUUUUAAUCAGAGAAGAGUUUAUUAUGUUCAUAGAGUUUUUCUUGUAGUGUAUGUUUAAGCUACUUUUAUUUUUUGGAGAAACUCAUUUUAAAUUUCCUUAUGUAGAAGUUUGUCAGAACAAAUUCAAAUUAAAUUCUGAGUGAAUAUUUUCUUUUGAAUCAAUUAUUCCCUUAUUAUUCAGGAUGUCCUCCAAUAUUGUUCCCCUAAAAUUAUUCAACGCCAUGGUGUUAAUUAUAUUUUCAUAUAUGGUCAUUCAGUUCCAGGUAUUCAUUGUCCAAGUUCACUUCACAAUUUCUUACUAAUCGAAAAGCAGUAAAAUUGGAAGGAAGACACAUAAAUAGCUAAGUAGAAAAAAACUCCUGGCAAUGAUUUGCUGCAGAGCAUGAGAGAAGACCCGUUCCAUGAUUCAUAUCUCUUAUAAGUAAUUGAAAUUCAUCUCCUGAAGUAUAUACAUGAUUAUAUUUACUGAUCCCAACUCAAGUAAUUGAAAUUCAUCUCCUCUACUUUUAGUUUGUGUUUCUGGUUUCCAUCUUUUAAGUUUGUUUAGUUUAGAUUGAAUAAAGCAAGGUUUCUUAUUGGAAUUCUCAAUAUAUAUAGUUAUGUGAUGAUCAUUUUUGUUUUGUUGUGAGAUGCAUGCUUAUAUGCCAUGAUGGAAGCUAUGAAAGUAGGGUACAAUACUUUAGUAUUGUCUUUACUUGGACAUGACCUUUCUCUGUUAUUUUCCCACCUGAUGAAUAACUUUUGGUAAAGGAUGCAUUUGGUUCAGUGAAAAAGGAGUACAUUUGGGAGAAGAAUUAAAAAAGAGAGAAACCAGAGAACAUUCCUUCACAAAAAAGUACUCCAUCUGGAAGUAAGCUUUACAAGUAAUGUUGAUAUGUCUCAUUUGCAUCAAAGACCAGACAAGGAACAAGCUCUAAGCACAAGAGAUAUCCUAGAAAGGACAGAGAAAUGGAAAUUUGCUGUUGAGGAAGAAAAGUGGUUAGAUGAAUAAUUUUGAAAAGUUUUUGUUUAUGAUGAGAAGGAUAGUAGCUUGGUGUAGCUUAUGUGCAUAUAUGAGUGUAUAUAUUUCUUGUUAAAAGGUAUUUUUUAAGGUCUGAAAGUGCAUAUUUUUUUUUCAUAGGAGGGAAUCUUGUUU